rnacentral:rRNA from 1 species
CCUAUGGUUUCACGGUAUUGCAAUGAGAACAAUUUAAAACCCUUAGCGAGAAUCAAGUGGAGGACAAGUCUGGUGCCAGCACCCGCGGUAAUUCCAGCUCCACUAGCGUAUAUUAAAGUUGUUGCAGUUAAAAAGCUCGUAGUUGAACCUCUGUCUGGGGCUAGUUUUGGCUUUGGUCAGGCUAGUUCUAGGCAUCCGCCUACAAGACUUAGAGGGCAUUCAGUUGUUCACUAGGAGGAGUAGGCAUUUUACUUUGAAAAAAUUAGAGUGUUUAAGGCAGGCAAUCGCCCGCAUAUAUUAGCAUGGAAUAAUAGAAUAGGACACUUUUCCAUUUCGUUGGUUAUUGGAAUCGUGUAAUGAUUAAUAGGGACAGUUGUGGGCAUUUGUAUUUAAUUGUCAGAGGUGAAAUUCUUGGAUUUAUUAAAGACAAACUAACGCGAAAGCAUUUGCCAAGGAUGUUUUCAUUAAUCAAGAACGAAAGUUAGGGGAUCAAAGACGAUCAGAUACCGUCCUAGUCUUAACUAUAAACUAUUCCGACUCAAUGUUUGACUGGCUUAUAUAACCAGUUGAGCGUUGUAUGAGAAAUCAAAGUCUUUAGGUUCUGGGGGGAGUAUGGUUGCAAAGCUGAAACUUAAAGGAAUUGACGGAAGAGCACAACCAGGAGUGGAUUCUGCGGCUUAAUUUGACUCAACACGGGGAAACUUACCAGGUUAAAACAAUAGUGGGAUUGACAGUUUGAGAGCGCUUUCUUGAUUGGUUGGGUGGUGGUGCAUGGCCGUUCUUAGUUGGUGGAGUGAUUUGUCUGCUUAAUUGCGUUAACGAACGAGACCUUAACCUGCUUACUAGACUGGCGAUCAUCAAUCGUUAGCUCUUCUUAGAGGGACUUUGGUUGUUUUAACUCCAAGGAAGUUUGAGGCAAUAACAGGUCUGUGAUGCCCUUAGAUAUCCUGGGCCGCACGCGUCAUACAAUGACUAGUUCAGAAAGUUUUCUCCUGACCCGAAAGGGGAUGGGUAAUCUUGAUAAUACUAGUCGUGUUAGGGAUCGAUCUUUGCAAUUAUAGAUCUUGAACGAGGAAUUCCUAGUAAGUGCGGUUCAUCAGACCGUACUGAUUACGUCCCUGCUCUUUGUACACACCGCCCGUCGCUUCUACCGAGUGGGUGGUCCGGUGAGAUAAUUGAACUUCGCAGGUAACUGAGAGGAAAGAUUAUCAAACCUAUCCACCU